AUUGAACGCUGGCGGCAUGCCUUACACAUGCAAGUCGAACGGUAACAGGUCUUCGGAUGCUGACGAGUGGCGAACGGGUGAGUAAUACAUCGGAACGUACCUAGUAGUGGGGGAUAACUACUCGAAAGAGUGGCUAAUACCGCAUGAGAUCUACGGAUGAAAGCAGGGGAUCGCGAGACCUUGUGCUACUAGAGCGGCCGAUGGCAGAUUAGGUAGUUGGUGGGAUAAAAGCUUACCAAGCCGACGAUCUGUAGCUGGUCUGAGAGGACGAUCAGCCACACUGGGACGGAGACACGGCCCAGACUCCUACGGGAGGCAGCAGUGGGGAAUUUUGGACAAUGGGCGCAAGCCUGAUCCAGCAAUGCCGCGUGCAGGAUGGAGGCCUUCGGGUUGUAAACUGCUUUUGUACGGAACGAAAAGCCCCGGGUUAAUACCCUGGGGUCAUGACGGUACCGUAAGAAUAAGCACCGGCUAACUACGUGCCAGCCGCCGCCGUAA
rnacentral:rRNA from 1 species